rnacentral:rRNA from 1 species
UAAUACAGAGGGUGCGAGCGUUAAUCGGAUUUACUGGGCGUAAAGGGCGCGUAGGUUGUUGCGUAAGUGAGAUGUGAAAGCCCCGGGCUUAACCUGGGAACUGCAUCUUAUACUGCGUAACUGGAGUGCAAUAGAGGGUAGUGGAAUUUCCGGUGUAGCGGUGAAAUGCGUAGAUAUCGGAAGGAACACCAGUGGCGAAGGCGGCUACCUGGAUUGACACUGACACUGAGGCGCGAGAGCGUGGGGAGCAAACAGGAUUAGAUACCCUGGUAGUCCACGCCGUAAACGAUGAAAACUAGAUGUUGGGCAGCUUAGACUGUUCAGUAUCGAAGCUAACGCGAUAAGUUUUCCGCCUGGGGAGUACGGUCGCAAGAUUA